rnacentral:rRNA from 1 species
UACGUAGGGUGCGAGCGUUGUCCGGAAUUAUUGGGCGUAAAGGGCUCGUAGGCGGCCAACUAAGUCAGACGUGAAAUCCCUCGGCUUAACCGGGGAACUGCGUCUGAAACUGCCGUGACUCGAGUCCGGUAGGGGAGUGUGGAAUUCCCGGUGUAGCGGUGAAAUGCGCAGAUAUCGGGAGGAACACCAGUGGCGAAGGCGGCACUCUGGGCCGGUACUGACGCUGAGGAGCGAAAGCGUGGGUAGCGAACAGG